rnacentral:lncRNA from 15 species
GUCCACUAGGGGGCGAUGAGUAAGUUAUUACCUGUUGGGAAUGCAAUAGAUGGAAAGAAGAAGAAUUUAGUCCUGUUUACUGUGAGAGAUGAUUUGAUCGUGAUAUAUACUGUUCGUCAGGAACAAAAUAAACUUCCCCCACGGUCGGUAAGAAGCCUCCCGUGAGUUACUACAACAAAACAAUUUAUUUCAACAAUUAGAAGAAACUGCUGAAUGCUAUCAGUGGGCUGUCUCCUCAGCUUACUCUGUUUGCUGCCGAAUUCAGCAGUUCAGUAAACUCCAGUUUGCUGUCCAUGGAGGAUAGGUCGGCUGAAAAAACUGUGCGGGAGACUCUAAGAAGAGAAGACGAAUGCACAAUCCCAAGAUUGCGGAAGCAGUACGCCGUCUUUACAACUCGGAGACAAAUUGUCGGCCCUACGAACCGGAGCAAGGACUAAGCUCGCCUCAUAACGAGGUCGUGACCUCCUUUUUGCUCGGAGCUAUGUCUGCAAGUCCAGAUGUACACGAUGCUGAUAAUGACGACACUGUGUCUGCCUGUAAGACCUAUUACGAGACAGUACGCAGGAGCUUCAGGUACAAACAACCAGACCUUACACCGCAGGCCGAAGCUGUGAAGAGUUCAGCUCGGAGUCGAUCGAGAAGAAAGAGGCUGCUGGAAGCGAGACAGAGUGUGCUAGAUGAGGAAGAGGGGGAACUUUGGAAGUCCGCCACAAUAGACCUGAUGUCUGAUGAGGAAGAUGGCAUCGUUCGCGGGGUGUCUGGAUGGAUUGUGCGACCUCCGUCCUUUGGCAGCCAGGAGCUCACCGAGCUCUGUGCCACGCUUCAGUCGAGAUUAGAGGCAACUCCGAAGUACAGGACAACGCACCACAGACGUCUGUAA